GCCGGGGUGCCCGAGCGGCCCAAGGGGACGGGCUUGAGACCCGUUGCUCCAUAAGGGGCGCGUGGGUUCAAAUCCCACCCCCGGCG
rnacentral:tRNA from 7 species